GCGGCAGCGCACACGGUGACUUCCUUCCUUGUCUUGCUUUGUUUCGUAUGUUUGUGUUGUUUUUACCUUUGUUCUCUUUUCGUUGUGUGUCUCGUUUGUUCCCUUGCUUAUACUUUGUUUUGUUUGCUUGAGGGCAAGCAAAAUCUAAGUGUGAGGGGGGCGUCUUUGAGUUGUGUUCUGUUGAGUCCGUCUUAUGUUGUUUUGUGUGUCUUGAGCUUUGUGAUUGUUGAAGUAUUAGUGAUAAGCAUGCUGCCCGGUUGAGUUAUGUGAUGAACUUGAGGUUUGAUACUUGAGAUUUGGGAUUUUGAGAUUGAAAAU
rnacentral:lncRNA from 1 species